rnacentral:rRNA from 1 species
AACCUUUAGCAAUACAAAUAUUAAAGGCAACGCCUGCCCAGUGAAUAAUUAAACGGCCGCGGUACCCUAACCGUGCAAAGGUAGCGUAAUCACUUGUCUAUUAAUUGUAGACCCGUAUGAAUGGCACAAUGAGGGCCCAACUGUCUCUUAUAAUAAAUCAAUUAAACUGAUCCCCCAGUCCAAAAGCUGGGAUACUCACAUAAGACCAGAAGACCCUGUGAAGCUUAAACUAAAUUACUAAAUCACAUAGUAGCUCCUUUCGGUUGGGGCGACCUUGGAAAUAAAAAGAACUUCCAAACAAAUGACCUCAUCUCAUACCAAAGGCCAACAAGCCUGCAUAGACCCAGCAUAGCUGAUAAUUGAACCAAGUUACUCCAGGGAUAACAGCGCUAUCUUCUUCAAGAGCCCAUAUCAAAAAGAAGGUUUACGACCUCGAUGUUGGAUCAGGACAUCCUAAUGGUGCAGCAGCUAUUAAGGGUUCGUUUGUUCAACGAUUAACAGUCCU